rnacentral:rRNA from 1 species
UGGGGAAUCUUGCGCAAUGGGCGAAAGCCUGACGCAGCCAUGCCGCGUGAAUGAUGAAGGUCUUAGGAUUGUAAAAUUCUUUCACCGGGGACGAUAAUGACGGUACCCGGAGAAGAAGCCCCGGCUAACUUCGUGCCAGCAGCCGCGGUAAUACGAAGGGGGCUAGCGUUGCUCGGAAUUACUGGGCGUAAAGGGCGCGUAGGCGGAUCGUUAAGUCAGAGGUGAAAUCCCAGGGCUCAACCCUGGAACUGCCUUUGAUACUGGCGAUCUUGAGUAUGAGAGAGGUAUGUGGAACUCCGGGUGUAGAGGUGAAAUUCAUAGAUAUUCGGAAGAACACCAGUGGCGAAGGCGACAUACUGGCUCAUUACUGACGCUGAGGCGCGAAAGCGUGGGGAGCAAACAGG